AGGUUAUGUUCUUAGUUUUUCAUUGGCUCCAUAUGUGGUCUAUCCUCCAGAAGCUAGGCAACAACUACGGCGUCGGCAUCCUCACCGAUUUGACGACAUAGAGACUUUUAUUUCCGAACGUCGACAUCAAGAUGGAGCUAGUGUCGCCGCCAUAGAAUAAUUUUCUCCGGUCUCUUCUCCAUUUUAUCGUGGUUAGAUCACACCAUGAUAAAGGACUAGAGAGAAUAAGUUUGAGAUCAGUCUUUCUCAUUCUUCGGUGGCAGAAAGAAGAAGAAAGACACCAGAAGGAAGAAGUUUCUCAACUCCACCUACAUGAAUGUUGGCCGUCGUUCGUUGGGCAUAUGUUCUCAGGCCUUUUGCCAAGUGUUUGCCUAUGCGGUCAUCCAUACUGCAAAGCGUCGUAUAGGUUUGGUUUUGAGAACUAUUCACAACUUGGUAUUAUUUAGAUGAUUUUUUUCUAGAUAUUUAUGUAAUCCAGAGUGCUUGUAUUCAUGUACUCAGCUAUUAUUUAAUA